CUCCUACGGGAGGCAGCAGUGGGGAAUAUUGCACAAUGGGGGAAACCCUGAUGCAGCAACGCCGCGUGAAGGAUGACGGUUUUCGGAUUGUAAACUUCUUUUCUUAGUGACGAAGACAGUGACGGUAGCUAAGGAAUAAGCAUCGGCUAACUACGUGCCAGCAGCCGCGGUAAUACGUAGGAUGCAAGCGUUAUCCGGAUUUACUGGGUGUAAAGGGAGCGCAGGCGGGACUGCAAGUUGGAUGUGAAAUACCGUGGCUUAACCACGGAACUGCAUCCAAAACUGUAGUUCUUGAGUGAAGUAGAGGCAAGCGGAAUUCCGAGUGUAGCGGUGAAAUGCGUAGAUAUUCGGAGGAACACCAGUGGCGAAGGCGGCUUGCUGGGCUUUAACUGACGCUGAGGCUCGAAAGUGUGGGGAGCAAACAGGAUUAGAUACCCUGGUAGUCCACACUGUAAACGAUGAUAGCUAGGUGUGGGGGGUCUGACCCCUUCCGUGCCGGAGUUAACGCAAUAAGCUAUCCACCUGGGGAGUACGACCGCAAGGUUGAAACUCAAAGGAAUUGACGGGGGCCCGCACAAGCAGUGGAUUAUGUGGUUUAAUUCGAAGCAACGCGAAGAACCUUACCAGGUCUUGACAUCCGACUAACGAGAUAGAGAUAUGUCAGGUGCCCUUCGGGGAAAGUCGAGACAGGUGGUGCAUGGUUGUCGUCAGCUCGUGUCGUGAGAUGUUGGGUUAAGUCCCGCAACGAGCGCAACCCCUAUCUUCAGUAGCCAGCAGGUUAAGCUGGGCACUCUGGAGAGACUGCCAGGGAUAACCUGGAGGAAGGUGGGGAUGACGUCAAAUCAUCAUGCCCCUUAUGACCAGGGCUACACACGUGCUACAAUGGCGUAAACAAAGAGAAGCGAACUCGCGAGGGUAAGCAAAUCUCAAAAAUAACGUCUCAGUUCGGAUUGUAGUCUGCAACUCGACUACAUGAAGCUGGAAUCGCUAGUAAUCGCAGAUCAGAAUGCUGCGGUGAAUACGUUCCCGGGCCUUGUACACACCGC
rnacentral:rRNA from 1 species